CCUACGGGAGGCAGCAGUGAGGAAUAUUGGUCAAUGGACGAGAGUCUGAACCAGCCAAGUAGCGUGAAGGAUGACUGCCCUAUGGGUUGUAAACUUCUUUUCUAUGGGAAUAAAACGUUCCACGUGUGGGAUUUUGUAUGUACCAUAUGAAUAAGGAUCGGCUAACUCCGUGCCAGCAGCCGCGGUAAUACGGAGGAUCCGAGCGUUAUCCGGCUUUAUUGGGUUUAAAGGGAGCGUAGGUGGAUUGUUAAGUCAGUUGUGAAAGUUUGCGGCUCAACCGUAAAAUUGCAGUUGAAACUGGCAGUCUUGAGUACAGUAGAGGUGGGCGGAAUUCGUGGUGUAGCGGUGAAAUGCUUAGAUAUCACGAAGAACUCCGAUUGCGAAGGCAGUUCACUGGACUGCAACUGACACUGAGGCUCGAAAGUGUGGGUAUCAAACAGGAUUAGAUACCCCGGUAGUC
rnacentral:rRNA from 1 species